GUCCUCCGCAGCCCCGCCGGGAGCCCAGGGCGGGGGCUUGGGGAAAGGCGUGCCGGCAUCCUUUGAGGGUUCACAGUUGUCAUAGGAGCAAGUGUUUCCAGAAGGAAAAUGAAAUCAACAGUCUUAAACCCAGCACAGAGCUGAAGUAAGAUAAGGACUUAGAUAUUUCAGCAGACUAGUGGGAGCAAACCCUGGUGGCAGUGGGGCAAGUGGUGAAUGGAAGGUAAGUAGAAACCACCUUUUCCUGGAAGUGUGAAUGAGAAACAGAGGGUUUCUAAUGUGGGAGAAGAUUAAGUUUUUUUAUUGACUGAGAGGAAGACAGUAUUAGACCAAGAUUACAGGACAGAUACAGUGGCUGGACGACUGGUGGAACAAGGUACCCAAGAUGAAGGGCCGAGGUCUGGAGAGCAGUAGUGCAGUUCCCACUGGGUUGAACCCGGGGUUGACACGUAAGACCUGCAGAAAGGCGGUUAGAACGGCCGGGGGUGAGAGGAUGUUUAGGUAGGGCUGUUGGAGAUCAAACUAGAGCUGGCCUCAAUUUUCUUGAUACUCUAAGAGGUAAGGCAGUCUUUGAGAGUAAGAGGGUGGGGAUUAAACUGGGGGCUUGAUGGUGGAGAGAAACGUUGUUGAGGGGACUAAGAGAGGAAGCUGACCCAGGGUACGUGUAAUAAUCGAUGAGCGGUGCUGAGGGCCUGCGUUAUGUUAGGCACCACAGAUCUACUGUGGCACCUGCUUCAGUUGUGUGGUUUUUCUCCAGGCAGUGCUUCUGCCUGGAAUAGAAGCAGAUCUUAGCACUAACUCCUAACUCACACCAAUUUCGGUUUAAGGGAAUGGUAGGGUGUAACUUGAAUAAGUCUUAAAAUUGCCUUGCACUUCUUCAUGAUGAAAACACUCAACAAACUCAGAAAAGAAGGGAACUUCCUCAGUCUGAAGGGGGCAUGUGCAGAAACCUUACAACUAAGGUCAUACUUAAUGGUAAAGACUGGGUGCUUUCCCGCUGGGAUAAGGAACAAUGAUGUAUGCUCUCCCCACUUCCGUUCAGCUUUGUACUGGAAGUAGCCGAGACAGCUCAGCAAGAAAACAGAACAAAAAGCAUCCAGAUUGGAAAGGAAGAAAUAAAACUAUUGCUAUUUGCAGAUAACAUGACCUUGUAUAAAGUCCUGAGGAUUUUCUAAAAAUUUAUUAGGAUGAGUUCAGCACGGUUGUAAGCUGUAAGAGCAUUCUACAAAAGUCGGUUGUAUUUCUGUACACUUGCAAUGGACAACCUAACAAUGAAAUUAAAAAACAAUUUCAUUUACCAUUGUAUGAAAAAGAAUGCAAUCCUUAGGUGUAAAGUUAACAAAUGAAGUGCAAAACUGACACUGAAAAUUUAUGAGAGAUUAUUGAAAGGAACUGAAGAAGCCCUGAAUAGAUGAAAAGACAUCCCAUGUGCAUGGACUGGAAGACUUGAUUGUUAGAAUAGCUGUGCUCCCCAAUGCCUAUUACAGUCCCAGCGGUCAUCUUUGAAGAA